GUUAAGCUUUCCUACCUUCUCCAGUGCCAAUGCCAGCCAACCUGAAAGAGAGGGGGAAGCAGAUGUAAGCAAAGGGCAGAAACUCAGGCCUCUCAAGGGGAGAGCCCAGCGGCUGGCUAAGCGGUCAUCCCCAGCCUGCACACCAUCACCACCCCCACAUGUGACUUCUGUAGAGGCUGGGACAUCCUGAGAGCCCGUCCUGACCGGCCACACUCACCAUUCUUGCAAAAUAAGCAGAGGAACACUUUAGGCAGAGCCCUACAGGGUGUGUCAAUUGCCCCCCUCGGCCCCCACGGGUCCUGACAGGACCAAAUGCCCAGGAUCCCCCCGGCACCGCCAAGUUGAGCAGAUGUCUGCCAGCCUCCACACCUGGAA
rnacentral:lncRNA from 1 species